GUCCACGCCGUAAACGAUGGGUGCUAGGUGUGGGAGGUGUCGAUUCCUUCCGUGCCGAAGCUAACGCAUUAAGCACCCCGCCUGGGGGGUACGGUCGCAAGACUAAAACUCAAAGGAAUUGACGGGGCCCGCACAAGCAGCGGAGCAUGUUGUUUAAUUCGAUGCGACGCGAAGAACCUUACCUAGGCUUGACAUGUUGUGGAAAACCGUGGAAACACGGUCCCUCUUCGGAGCCGCAUCACAGGUGGUGCAUGGCUGUCGU
rnacentral:rRNA from 1 species